GACAGAGGUCCCGAGCGUUAGGCGGAAUCACUGGGCUUAAAGCGUGUGUAGGCGGACUUCUAAGUACCUUGUGAAAUCCCACGGCUUAACCGUGGAACUGCUUGGUAUACUGGUUGUCUUGGGCCAUCUAGGGGCUACCGGAACAAACGGUGGAGCGGUGAAAUGCGUAGAUAUCGUUUGGAACGCCAAUGGUGAAAACAGGUAGCUGGGGGUGUGCCGACGCUGAGACACGAAAGCCAGGGGAGCGAACGGG
rnacentral:rRNA from 1 species